rnacentral:rRNA from 1 species
GACGAACGCUGGCGGCGUGCUUAACACAUGCAAGUCGAACGGAAAGGCCCUGCUUUUGUAGGGUGCUCGAGUGGCGAACGGGUGAGUAACACGUGAGUAACCUGCCCUUGACUUUGGGAUAACUUCAGGAAACUGGGGCUAAUACCGGAUAGGAGCUCCUGCUGCAUGGUGGGGGUUGGAAAGUUUCGGCGGUUGGGGAUGGACUCGCGGCUUAUCAGCUUGUUGGUGGGGUAGUGGCUUACCAAGGCUUUGACGGGUAGCCGGCCUGAGAGGGUGACCGGCCACAUUGGGACUGAGAUACGGCCCAGACGCCUACGGGAGGCAGCAGUGGGGAAUAUUGCACAAUGGGCGGAAGCCUGAUGCAGCAACGCCGCGUGCGGGAUGACGGCCUUCGGGUUGUAAACCGCUUUCGCCUGUGACGAAGCGUGAGUGACGGUAAUGGGUAAAGAAGCACCGGCUAACUACGUG